rnacentral:rRNA from 1 species
UGGGNNAAUAUUGCGCAAUGGGGGGAACCCUGACGCAGCCAUGCCGCGUGAAUGAAGAAGGCCUUAGGGUUGUAAAGUUCUUUCGGUAUUGAGGAAGGUUGAUGUGAUAAUAGCACAUCAAAUUGACGUUAAAUACAGAAGAAGCACCGGCUAACUCCGUGCCAGCAGCCGCGGUAAUACGGAGGGUGCGAGCGUUAAUCGGAAUAACUGGGCGUAAAGGGCACGCAGGCGGUUAUUUAAGUGAGGUGUGAAAGCCCUGGGCUUAACCUAGGAAUUGCAUUUCAGACUGGGUAACUAGAGUACUUUAGGGAGGGGUAGAAUUCCACGUGUAGCGGUGAAAUGCGUAGAGAUGUGGAGGAAUACCGAAGGCGAAGGCAGCCCCUUGGGAAUGUACUGACGCUCAUGUGCGAAAGCGUGGGGAGCAAACAGGAUUAGAUACCCUGGUAGUCCACGCUGNNNACGCUGUCGAUUUGGGGGUUGGGGUUUAACUUNGGCGCCCGUAGCUAACGUGAUAAAUCGACCGCCUGGGGAGUACGGCCGCAAGGNUA